CGGUAAGGUAAGUUCCUGGUAAAAUCGGGCAGCUCAACUGUCCGCGUGCUAGGAAUACUGCUUUACUAGAGGGCGGGAGAGGUCUGAGGUACUGCGGGGGUAGGGGUGAAAUCUUAUAAUCCUCGCAGGACCACCAGUGGCGAAGGCGUCAGACUGGAACGCGCCUGACGGUGAGGGACGAAAGCCAGGGGAGCGAACCGGAUUAGAUACCCGGGUAGUCCUGGCCGUAAACGAUGCAUACUAGGUUAUGGUGCGGCCAUGAGCCGUAUCAGAGCCGUAGGGAAACCGUUAAGUGUGCCGCCUGGGAA
rnacentral:rRNA from 1 species